rnacentral:misc_RNA from 1 species
ACUACCGACAUGUGAUCUAACUAACAAUUUCAUGAAGCUGGGAUAUUCAUUUCCAAUACUUAACAGGAACUCCUCUGCUCGAAUGAUGAUUGGUGAUUUCAUUUGGGUAGCACUUCCAGACCCAUCAGCUGUAGCUCUCUCUAGUUUGGUGCUAAUUGACCUGCAUCCAGCAACAGCUACUCCAUUGCUGGAUUGAGACUGUUUCUUGAAUACCCUUUUCUUCCUGAAGGGAAUUGUUGAAAUCUGAUCAACCAUCUCCUUAGGCUUCCUUCUUCUCUUACCCAGCAAAGAAGAAAUUGGAGUUUGGGUAGAUGGGGUUAUGGAAUUAAUUGGAAUAGAAGCAUCAACAAGACUCAAAUUGUCAUCCCCCAAUUUGGGUAUUGCAAAAUCAGGCUCAGGUUCAGGUUCUUGAGUUCCAAGUUGUUGAUUUUCCUGUUCCUCAUCAAAAACCUCCUUCUUGGGCAUAUCUGGGUAGGGAAUCGAAACACGUUCUUGAUUUGGGGGUUCACUUCGAUGAACUACUUUAAUCUUCAUUUUCCUGAUGGAAAAUGGAAUAAAGAUUGUACCUUUGAAGGGAUUUGUUCUUUUUUCUAUCAGAUCCUAUUCCUACCACUCCCCUG